rnacentral:rRNA from 1 species
CCUACGGGAGGCAGCAGUGGGGAAUAUUGCACAAUGGGGGAAACCCUGAUGCAGCGACGCCGCGUGAGUGAAGAAGUAAUUCGUUAUGUAAAGCUCUAUCAGCAGGGAAGAAAAUGACGGUACCUGAGUAAGAAGCCCCGGCUAACUACGUGCCAGCAGCCGCGGUAAUACGUAGGGGGCAAGCGUUAUCCGGAUUUACUGGGUGUAAAGGGAGCGUAGACGGCAGUGCAAGUCUGGAGUGAAAGGCGGGGGCUCAACCCCCGGACUGCUCUGGAAACUGUACGGCUGGAGUGCAGGAGAGGUAAGUGGAAUGCCUAGUGUAGCGGUGAAAUGCGGAGAUAUUAGGAGGAACACCAGUGGCGAAGGCGGCUUACUGGACUGUAACUGACGUUGAGGCUCGAAAGCGUGGGGAGCAAACAGGAUUAGAUACCCGGGUAGUC